rnacentral:lncRNA from 1 species
GCUGCUCCGGCGUGAUGCUGCGCCGGCUUUCAGCCUCCCUGAAACGUGAACAUUUCCUGUUUCCUGCUUGUUUGGGUCGGUGCUAACUUGAAGGAGAGGUGUUUGCCUGUUUUUUAGGAAGUGAUGUAAUUCGGCAGGAGCCUGUCAGACCAGCAAGGAUUGCAAAAGAGAAGUUGCUCUUCAAGCACUGAUUCAGUUAGCACGCCUCGCCAGCUCUCUCCAGCCCCGGCCCUAGCACUGGCCUCCAGCUUUUGAAAUUGUCGAUGUGGAAACAGUAUCCGUUGCUCACAGAUCAUUCGGGAUCUGCAACUGAGGGUCCCGGACCACAGGCAUUCUCAAUUUGCGAUUUUACUCCACCCCCAGGCACUGGACUCCUGGGGCUCAAGGCCCACUCCACAGACCCCUCAUUGAAUCAGGAAUGCCUGCAAGAGAAAUCAAAGAAGUUGGGAGAAUGGAAAAGAUCAUUAGGCACAAAUAAAAGAUGGUGUACCGGGGCUGGCCCCGUGGCCGAGUGGUUGAGUUCGCGUGCUCCGCUGCAGGCGGCCCAGUGUUUCGUUAGUUCGAAUCCUGGGCGUGGACAUGGCGCUGCUCAUCAGACCACACUGAGGCAGCGUCCCACAUACCACAACUAGAGGAACCCACAACGAAGAAUAUACAACUAUGUACCAGGGGGCUUUGGGGAGAAAAAGGAAAUAAUAAAAUCUUAAAAAAAAAAAAAAAAAAAGAUGGU